rnacentral:rRNA from 1 species
GAUGAGCGCUGGCGGCGUGCCUAAUACAUGCAAGUCGAACGCUGGAAAUCUAGCUUGCUAGAUUGAAGGAGUGGCAAACGGGUGAGUAAUACAUAAGCAACCUACCCACGAAGACUGGGAUAAUCUCUGGAAACGGGGACUAAUACCGGAUAGGUAAUCGGAAGGCAUCUUCUGAUUAUUAAAGGUUAAAAACACUGGUGGAUGGGCUUAUGGCGCAUUAGUUAGUUGGUGAGGUAACGGCCCACCAAGACGAUGAUGCGUAGCCGGCCUGAGAGGGUGAACGGCCACAUUGGGACUGAGACACGGCCCAGACUCCUACGGGAGGCAGCAGUAGGGAAUUUUCGGCAAUGGGGGAAACCCUGACCGAGCAACGCCGCGUGAGUGAUGACGGCCUUCGGGUUGUAAAGCUCUGUUGUAAGGGAAGAACGGUAGAUAGAGAAUAUCUAAAUGACGGUACCUUACCAGAAAGCCACGGCUAACUACGU